rnacentral:tRNA from 1 species
GGAGAGGUGGCUGAGUGGUCGAAAGCGCGCGACUCGAAAUCGCGUGACGGGUAACCCCCGUCCGAGGGUUCGAAUCCCUCCCUCUCCGCCA